GGAGGGGAUGGGUGGGGAUGGGGGCGGGGCAGUGAGAGAGUGAGCGCGCGCAUGGACCACUCACGGGACGAGGGAGGAGAGGAGCCUGGGGAGCUGAGGGGUGGGGGGGAUUUGGGUAGAAGAGCGUGCACCCGCGUGCUGGUGCCCCGGGAGGAGGGGCAGGCGUGGCGUGACGCAGUGCGUCGCUUACUCUUUCUUAAGGGCAAGUGACCGAGGCGGAGGCGGAGGCGGAGGCGGGAUUAAGAUGGAUCUGUCAGCUUUUUGGAGGAUGGAGUUGAGAGAGGAGUGACUUGAAGCAUGGAAUCCAAUUAAGAGAUUAUCACAAGAAUCUAGAAUUUCCAUCCAAAACUUUGCCUUCAUGAUUCUCUAUGGAACUGCAGCUAAACCCAGAAGUCUAGUUCUUCUUUGAUCCAAAUGAGAAUCAUCGGAGAUUAGACACUCUUAUAUGGUGAUAUAUGAACUUAAUGAAUAACUAUUAAUGGAUUGACUGAUGUAAAAUGUAAGUUAUGUGUGUAAUAUAUAUUAUAUAUGUAUAAUUACAUUAAAUAUAACAUAGAUAUUGAUAUAUGUUAUGAAUGUGUAAUAGACAUAUAUGUAUUCACAGAGUCAUCUUAACAAAGUUAAAGGUAGAGACCUUGAGCUGACUCAGAAGAUGUCCUUGUGGAAGGUGUGAACACCCCAGGUGAUGAAUGGCUGAAUCAUGGCUAACAAUGGAGGGAGAGUUCAGACUUCAGACAUGCUCCUCCAAAUUGUGGCUCUGCUCUUUGCCUUUAUUUCAGCUCAAGGGCUACCUGGUGGUUCUUCCUCUUCUCUACAAUGGUCUUGAGUUAGGAAUUCCAGUAGAAUUCCUUUUGUGUCCAGGAAGCCAAGUUCAGGAAUUCUUUUGCUGCCUGAUUCCUCUUUUAAGAACUCCUUCACUGGGACAGCUAGGUGGCUCAAUGAAUAAAAAGGCAAUCUUGCAGAUGGGAAAUCUUGGAUUCAAAUUUGGCCUUAGCUAUUUCCUAGCUGGUGACCCUGGGCCAGUCACUUAACCCCAAUAACCUAGUCCUUACAGUUCUUCUGCCUUGGUUCCUAUAUAUAUAUAUUAUCAGUUCUAAGAUGGCAUGUAUGGGUUUAAAUUUUUUUCUGUAAAAAGAAACCCCAUUAUUCAAUCAAGGCUUCUCCCGCUUACUAUAUUGAGAGUUGUGAGGACCCACGCUCUCUCCAUGUUUCCAUCUCUGGAUUAUGAAGAAGGAAAUGGAAACAGAAAAGCACAAGUCAUGUUUCAGGAAGAACAAAUAAACUAAUCAGACUAGAGCACUGAGAAUGUGUUCAAGGGAUUAUGGGAAGACAGGCACACUAAUAAACUCUUUGAGGAGCUGUAAAACAUUCUCAUCAUUUUAAAAAAAAUUUGGUAAUAUAAGAGAAAAAACAUUAAACUACUAAUUUCUCUUUGAGUGAUCCUAUUACUAAACCUAUAACUCUAUAAUGUCAAAGAAGAAAAAAACCCUAUUUUAAAGUAUUGAUAGAAUGAUGGACCUGUAGUCAGAAAGACCUAAGUUUAAAUCUGGUCUCAGACAGUUACUAGCUAUGUGACCCUGGACAAAUCAUUCAACCUCUACUUGUCUUAUUCCCACUGGAGAAGGAAAUGGCAAACCACUCAUAUCUUUCCCAAGAAAAUCCCAUGAACAGAGUUGGCAUGUUAUGGCCCAUGGAGUCAUAAAGAGUAAGAUUGAAUGAUGGAACUACAGAGUAUGUGCUCAAAGUUCUAUGUUUCAUGCAAGCAAUGUAUCAGACAGACCAGUUUAUCAAACAGCUAAACAAAAAGGAGUGACUCUGAACUAAAGCAUUAUACACUGUCACAAAAUGAUAAUGAAUGAUGAUUUCUCUAGCCAUGAGCUACAGUCACAAACUGAAGGGCUUCCUACAUUAGCCACUGUAGGAAGGAUUGCUAUUUACACACUGGUCUAGCCAAACGUGAAAUAUCAUAGCAUGAUCUCCAGAAAAUCUUUUAUUUAAUCUCAAGAAAACAGUUAUGUGAUCAAAUAUUCAAAAGCUGAUGGGGGCCUUACAGUUCUACUCUAGACUUCUCAUUUUUUAAAGGAGGAGACUGAGAUCCAAAGAGUUAACUGACUUGUCUAAACUCCCCAAGAUCAUCAAUGGCAGAAGUGGGAUUUGAACCAGGUCCUCUGACUGCAAACCAGCCCUCUUUCCACUAUUGUGAGAUUUAAAAUAGUGAAGCCUAUAAACUGUAGUGAUUAAAAUAGUGGAAGAUAUAAAUUGUGAUAGAUAUAGGAGACGGUGAGUAAAUUUGACCGCAGAAAAUAUGUUUCACUACAGUGUCUUGGUUUUUAAAUCAAAUAUAAGGAGGUUGCCAGGGAAAUAUUCCCAAUUAUUCAAAUACCCAAGUCAACUGGGUUUUAUAGAGAUUUUAAUUAAUACAAAUGUGGAAUUAAAGAAAAGAGAGAAAGAGAGAAAAAGGAAAUAAGUAUGAAGGGCCUUAAGCCAACAUGGCCUAGACCUGAGUCUUAAGAGAGAGAGAUCAGUCAGUCAGUCUUUUAACACUCACCACAAGGUCUGCCUAAGCAAGAAUUCUAGUGACACCAGGCCAGCAUCAUCUCAGCUGCUUUCACCAGCUCCCUCCUCCAUCUGAAUGUUUCAUAAUCAGUCCUUCCUCAAUCUGAAUGUUUCAGAAUGAGUCCUCCUCAAUCUGAAUGUUUCAGAAUGACCCCCAGCUCUUCUCUGAGCUGUUAUUUUUAAGGGAAAUAUCUCCUAUGUCACCUCCCCUAAGUUCUUCCAUCUACCAAUCACUGUAGAUGUUUUCCAAAAGACAGCCCAUUUUGAAUUCACAGCUGAGUAGAUUAAUCUCUUUAGUAAGUCAGAAAAAAAAUGCUGCUGUGUCGACUAAUUUCAUUAAGAGAAAACCUCUGAGUAAUUUUUCACCUUUUAGGUCUAAGUAGUUUACAAGUUGCCCCACCUUUAUAGACACCUAGCAUCCCAUUGUAUCAAUUCCAAAAAUAGGCAUGGCUCAAAGAACUCCUUUCCUUUAUAAGUAUGGUUUUCAAGUACUUUCAUUGUUUAGCAAGGAGUUUUCUGCCCUAAAGCAUUCUUAAGUAUGGGUGGAAUAGAGGUCCUCCCAUAGCAAGGAGUUUUCACAUUCAAGUAGAAUUCUCACUAUCUGGUAGGGAAUUAUUUCAAGUAGGUAAUUGGAGGAUUCCUCAAAUGUGAGGUAAAAUUUUUAACAUUCAUAAGUCUGUGUAAUUUUAAGGUUUACACUAUCCUGUACUAAAAUGAAUGUCUACUUUUUUUUUACUUUUAAAGCACUAAAUAUGAGGUCAAUUAAUUGGGCAUACAAAUUUAAAAAAAACAGAAAGUGAAGAAAUUAAAAAUCGUCAGAUGAAGACAUUGACUGCUCAUUGAUAGGACUAGCUAACAUAAAAAAAUUACAAUCCUACCCAAAUUAAUUUACUUAUUUAGUGCCGUACCCUUUAAACUACCAAAAACUUUUUUACUGAAUUAGAAAAUACCAUAACAAAGUUCAUUUGGAAGAACAAAAGAUCAAGGAUAUCCAGGGAAAUAAUGAAAAAAAAUGCAAAGGAAGGAGGCCUUGCAGUCCCAGAUCUCAAAAUAUACUAUAAAGCAGUGGUCAUAAAAACAAUUUGGUACUGGCUUAGAGACAGAGAGGAGGGCCAGUGGGAUAGACUUGGGGUAAGUGACCUCAGCAAGACAGUCUAUGAUAAGCCCAAAGAUCCCAGCUUUGGGGACCAAAACCCACUAUUUGAAAAAAAACUGCUGGGAAAAUUGGAAGACAGUAUGGGAGAGAUUAGAUUUGGAUCAACAUCUCACACCCUACACCAAGAUAAACUCAGAAUGGGUGAAUGACCUGAAUAUAAAGAAUGAAACUAUAAGCAAAUUAGGUGAACACAGAAGAGUAUACAUGUCAGAUCUUUGGGAAGGGAAAGACUUUAAAACCAAGCAAGAGCUAGAAAAAAAUCACAAAAUGUAAAAUCAAUAAUUUUUAUUACAUCAAAUUAAAAAGUUCUUGUACAAACAAAACCAAUGCAACCAAAAUUAGAAGGGAAGCAACAAAUUGGGAAACAAUCUUCAUAACAAAAACCUCUGACAAAGGUCUAAUUACUCACAUUUAUAAAGAGCUAAAUCAAUUGUACAAAAAAUCAAGCCAUGUUCAGAUUGAUAAAUGGGCAAGGGACAUGAAUAAGCAAUUUUCAGUUAAAGAAAUCAAAACUAUUAAUAAGCACAUGGAAAAGUGUUCUAAAUAUCUUAAAAUCAGAGAGAUGCAAAUCAAAACAACCCUGAGGUAUCACCUCACACCUAGCAGAAUGGCUAACAUGACAGCAAAGGAAAGUAAUGAAUGCUGGAAGGGAUGUGGCAAAGUAGGGACAUUAAUGCAUUGCUGAUGGAGUUGUGAAUUGAUCCAUAAUGGUUGCAUUAUGGAGGGCAAUUUAGAACUAUGCCCAAAGGGUGCUGAAAGACUGUCUCCCUUUGAUCCAGCCAUAGCACUGCUGGGUUUGCACCCCAAAGAGAUCAUAAGGAAAAAGACUUGCACAAGAAUAUUCAUAGCUGUGCUCUUUGUGGUGACAAAAAAUUGGAAAAUAAAUUGGGUAAUGGCUGAACAAAUUGUGGUAUAUGUUGGUGUUGGAAUAUUAUUGUGCUCAAAGGAAUAAUAAAGUAGAAGAAUUCCAUGGAGUCUGGAACAACCUCCAGGAAGUGAUGCAGAGUGAAAGGAGCAGAACCAGGAAAACAUUGUACACAGAGACUGAUACACUGUGGUACAAUCGAAUGUAAUGGCUUCUCCAUUAGUGGCAAUGCAGUGAUCCUGAACAACUCGGAGGGACCUAUGAGAAAGAACACUAUCCACAUCCAGAGGAAAGCUGUGGGAGUAGAAACACAGAAGAAAAAUAACUGCUUAAAUACAUGGAUCAAGGGGAUAUGGCUGGGGAUGUAGACUCUAAAUGAACAUCCUAAUGCAAACACCAACAACAUGGAAAUAGGUUCUGAUCAAGGUCAUAUGUAAUACCCAGUGAAAUUGCACGUUGGC